AUUGAACGCUGGCGGCAGGCCUAACACAUGCAAGUCGAACGAGUGGCGGACGGGUGAGUAAUGUCUGGGAAACUGCCCGAUGGAGGGGGAUAACUACUGGAAACGGUAGCUAAUACCGCAUACCAUCGGAUGUGCCCAGAUGGGAUUAGCUAGUAGGUGGGGUAAUGGCGCACCUAGGCGACGAUCCCUAGCUGGUCUGAGAGGAUGACCAGCCACACGGGAACUGAGAAACGGUCCAGACGCCUACGGGAGGCAGCAGUGGGGAAUAUUGGAAAAUGGGGGAAAGCCUGAUGCAGCCAUGCCGCGGGUAUGAAGAAGGCCUUCGGGUUGGAAAGUACUUUCAGCGAGGAGGCGUUACUCGCAGAAGAAGCACCGGCUAACUCCGUGCCAGCAGCCGCGGUAAUAC
rnacentral:rRNA from 1 species